GCUCGCUAUUGGCUGCGCUGAGGGAGUAGCAGAGAGCGUUUACAGUACAGCCUUUGAAGAAGGCAGAGUGAAGUAUGACAGAUGAGGCUGAUCGGCACGCGAUGUUCACCGUUUGCAUAGAUGAAAACACCUCUCGAUAUACAAGAGUUAUUUCAUCAUUAGAUGGGGAAGGAUAUUCCUGUGGACUGCUUUUAUUUCCAACUGUGCUCGUUGAAUAAUUUGACACCCUGCUUGGAUCUAUACUAAACCCAUGGCAGAGCCAGACGUGGAUUAAAGCACUGACAGCCCCAUCAACACCGAGUGGUUGACGGAGAAGUGCAUUGGCGAUACAAAUCAGCAAGAAUACGGUCAUUAAAGUAACCGA
rnacentral:lncRNA from 1 species